UACGAAGGGGGCUAGCGUUGCUCGGAAUCACUGGGCGUAAAGCGCACGUAGGCGGAUUGUUAAGUCAGGGGUGAAAUCCUGGAGCUCAACUCCAGAACUGCCUUUGAUACUGGCGAUCUCGAGUCCGGGAGAGGUGAGUGGAACUGCGAGUGUAGAGGUGAAAUUCGUAGAUAUUCGCAAGAACACCAGUGGCGAAGGCGGCUCACUGGCCCGGUACUGACGCUGAGACGCGAAAGCGUGGGGAGCGAACCGG
rnacentral:rRNA from 1 species